rnacentral:sRNA from 1 species
UGCUGGUGGCGGGUGUGGUGUCGGCCAUGGUGUGCAUGGUGAAGACGGAGAGCCCUGUGCUGACCAGUUCCUGCAGAGAGCUGCUCUCCAGGGUCUUCUUGGCUUUAGUGGAAGAGGUAGAGGACCGAGGCACUGUGGUUGCCCAGGGAGGCGGCAGGGUAAGCUGGUUUACACACCCCUUCCUGAUGGCUGAGCCAUCAGCCUAUAAAACAUGACUCAGCAGCUGCCACGCCAGAGCUGGGUGUUAGAUGCGGAACAGAAAAACAUUAAUGGCCAGAGGAACACUGUCCCGCUGAGAGAGUGACGCGGAAGCAGGCAAGCUCCUUGGCCCCUCCAUACUGGUGCCUGUGAAGGUCCUAGGCUCUACUGUUCCUUUGUCUCAUUUACCCCCAUGGCCCUGGUGCUCAGCACAAUCCAUGUCCAGCCCUUAUUAGGUGUUUCAGGAAGUGUUUGGAUGCAGAGGGUCUGCACAGGGAGUCAAGCCUGGGGAGAGGGAGGAAGGUGAGGGUGGCACAGUCAGGGCUGGGGAGCCUGAUGGUCGGGGUCUUACUCCCAGGGAUGUCCUGAGCAGUGACGGGCUUGUUCCUACAGGCGCUGAUCCCGCUGGCCCUGGAAGGCACGGACGUGGGGCAGACAAAGGCAGCCCAGGCCCUUGCCAAGCUCACCAUCACCUCCAACCCGGAGAUGACCUUCCCUGGCGAGCGGAUCUAUGAGGUGGUCCGGCCCCUCGUCUCCCUGUUGCACCUCAACUGCUCAGGCCUGCAGAACUUCGAGGCGCUCAUGGCCCUAACAAACCUGGCUGGGAUCAGCGAGAGGCUCCGGCAGAAGAUCCUGAAGGAGAAGGCUGUGCCCAUGAUAGAAGGCUACAUGUUUGAGGAGCAUGAGAUGAUCCGCCGGGCAGCCACGGAGUGCAUGUGUAACUUGGCCAUGAGCAAGGAGGUGCAGGACCUCUUCGAAGCCCAGGGCAAUGACCGACUGAAGCUGCUGGUGCUGUACAGUGGAGAGGAUGAUGAGCUGCUACAGCGGGCAGCUGCCGGGGGCUUGGCCAUGCUUACCUCCAUGCGGCCCACGCUCUGCAGCCGCAUUCCCCAAGUGACCACACACUGGCUGGAGAUCCUGCAGGCCCUGCUUCUGAGCUCCAACCAGGAGCUGCAGCACCGGGGUGCUGUGGUGGUGCUGAACAUGGUGGAGGCCUCGAGGGAGAUUGCCAGCACCCUGAUGGAGAGUGAGAUGAUGGAGAUCUUGUCAGUGCUAGCUAAGGGUGACCACAGCCCUGUCACAAGGGCUGCUGCAGCCUGCCUGGACAAAGCAGUGGAAUAUGGGCUUAUCCAACCCAACCAAGAUGGAGAGUGAGGGGGUUGUCCCUGGGCCCAAGGCUCAUGCACACGCUACCUAUUGUGGCACGGAGAGUAAGGACGGAAGCAGCUUUGGCUGGUGGUGGCUGGCAUGCCCAAUACUCUUGCCCAUCCUCGCUUGCUGCCCUAGGAUGUCCUCUGUUCUGAGUCAGCGGCCACGUUCAGUCACACAGCCCUGCUUGGCCAGCACUGCCUGCAGCCUCACUCAGAGGGGCCCUUUUUCUGUACUACUGUAGUCACCUGGGAAUGGGGAAGGUGCAUCCCAACACAGCCUGUGGAUCCUGGGGCAUCCGGAAGGGCGCACACAUCAGCAGCCUCACCAGCUGUGAGCCUGCUAUCAGGCCUGCCCCUCCAAUAAAAGUGUGUAGAACUCCA